AGAGCCUCUCUUAACACUGUCCUGUAGCUCAGCAACUCCAAAUUAGCACAGCUCCACACAUCCAAAGCCUGGAAAGGGUGGAAGAUGAAUAUGAACGGACAGAUCCCUCAUGCUCACCCUUGGUGGUGAAUUGAGUCAUCAGCUGAGUAUGGAAAGGAGUGGGGAACAAGCUCACAGGCUCUUUGUCUCCUUCGACUUUUGUUUCACAUUUGCCAGGAGGUAAGGCCUUCAUACCUGCAGCUGGGUCAAGUAUCUGGAAACACGUGGGCUGCCAGCAGAGCCACUUCAUGUCAGCAUCAGAGUACAAAGUGAGUGUGAGACUGAGUGAGAAUGUGAACUGCCAGGGUAUUCCUACCCGUGUGGCCCAGGCCUGGCUGCAGGGAGGGCAAAGUCUGGCUGCAGGGAGGGGAAAGGUCAGCUACAGGUCCCACCACACAUGUCCUCCAACUGCACUUUCCUUGUUCUAGCUUGGCAUCAGCCCACCUUGCUGUGUGCCUUGCAUGCCUCCUUCCUCUUCCUUUAGGAGGGGAUAGAAGGGUCCAGCUGAGGAUAAAUACAACAAUCAAGUCUUAGAUAGCAUUUGACAGCUAUUUGAUGAAUGAAUAAAUAAUAGAUGCAUAAAUAAAUGAAUGAACAAAUAA
rnacentral:lncRNA from 1 species